rnacentral:rRNA from 1 species
AGUGAACGCUGGCGGUAGGCCUAACACAUGCAAGUCGAACGGCAGCACAGUAAGAGCUUGCUCUUACGGGUGGCGAGUGGCGGACGGGUGAGGAAUACAUCGGAAUCUACUUUUUCGUGGGGGAUAACGUAGGGAAACUUACGCCAAUACCGCAUACGACCUACGGGUGAAAGCAGGGGAUCUUCGGACCUUGCGCGAUUGAAUGAGCCGAUGUCGGAUUAGCUAGUUGGCGGGGUAAAGGCCCACCAAGGCGACGAUCCGUAGCUGGUCUGAGAGGAUGAUCAGCCACACUGGAACUGAGACACGGUCCAGACUCCUACGGGAGGCAGCAGUGGGGAAUAUUGGACAAUGGGCGCAAGCCUGAUCCAGCCAUACCGCGUGGGUGAAGAAGGCCUUCGGGUUGUAAAGCCCUUUUGUUGGGAAAGAAAAGCAGCAGGUUAAUACCCCGCUGUUCUGACGGUACCCACAGAAUAAGCACCGGCUAACUUCGUG